CACGGGGGGAGCAAGCGUUGUUCGGAAUCACUGGGCGUAAAGCGCACGUAGGCGGAUGUGUCAGUCAGGGGUGAAAUCCCGGAGCUCAACUUCGGAACUGCCUCUGAUACAGCACGUCUUGAGUCCGGAAGAGGUGGGUGGAAUUCCUAGUGUAGAGGUGAAAUUCGUAGAUAUUAGGAAGAACACCGGUGGCGAAGGCGGCCCACUGGUCCGGUACUGACGCUGAGGUGCGAAAGCGUGGGGAGCAAACAGG
rnacentral:rRNA from 1 species